AGUGAACGCUGGCGGUAGGCCUAACACAUGCAAGUCGAACGGCAGCACAGUAAGAGCUUGCUCUUACGGGUGGCGAGUGGCGGACGGGUGAGGAAUACAUCGGAAUCUACUUUUUCGUGGGGGAUAACGUAGGGAAACUUACGCUAAUACCGCAUACGACCUACGGGUGAAAGCAGGGGAUCUUCGCACUUUGCGCGAUUGAAUGAGCCGAUGUCGGAUUAGCUAGUUGGAGGGGUAAAGGACCACCAAGGCGACGAUCCGUAGCUGGUCUGAGAGAAUGAUCAGCCACACUGGAACCGAGACAAGGAACCGAACCCUACGGGAGGCAGAAGUGGGGAAGAUUCGCAAAUGGACGCAAGCCUGACGCAGCCAUACCGCGGGCGUGAAGAAGGCCAUCGUGUUGUACAGCCCUUUUGUUGGGAAAGAAAAGCAGCCGGUUAAUACCCACGCUGUUCUGACGGUACCCAAAGAAUAAGCACCGGCUAACUUCGUG
rnacentral:rRNA from 1 species